GUCGUCUGAGUUAGUCAGACGACAGAUUUUUUAAAUCGGUCGUCUCAUCUCUACUCAUCCAACACAUGAUCAUUUAGUAAAUUUGAGAGAUUUCAGACGACACUAACAAGGACACCUGUUGUCUGAAUAACGAAAAAAAAAAAACAAACAAUAAUUAAUUUAUAUUUAUUUUUUUCCCCUCUCAAAACACCCAAAACCUAGCAAUAAACCCGAGUUCCCUCCCUUAGCUAAAAAUUAGGGUUGACUCUCCCUCCCAAAUUGCUCUCGGCCUCCCUCCGACUGACCAUCGCUCUCACCCUCAAUCACCAUCGCUCUCACCCUUAAUCCCCCUCACCCUCUCAACCUCACCGACCGUAGCUCUCCACCUCGCUCUCAGUCGAUCUCAGCGGGUUUUUCUUACUUCAAGCUCUGAUACAACAAGGCCCAGCAUAUAAUUUGUAGAAGUAAGGAGAGAAACGAAGAAGGAACAGAUCGGCAAACUAAUUGCAGACCCACUCAGGCAACGAUUAAAGCAGAGAGAAGAAGACUCUAGGAGCAACUGGAGUUCAAGAAAGCUGUCAAAGGCGCAAAUCAAGUUCUGUUCAUUGCUUCUGGAGACGACGAUACGAUUAAGUGCAAUUUGGUGGGCUUAACUCUCCUCUCCAUUUUGCUGCAGCUAAAGGGCACAACGAGAUUAUUUCAUUGCUUUUGGAGAAUGGAGCUGAUGUAAACUCCAGAAAUUGGAUAGUGGUGGUUGGUGACUUCUUUUGGAUUGGCAAUUGGAUUGGUAAAUGAAGCUAUCGUGUUCACCCUGUUUUCCGGGAGCAUAACCCGGAAUUAUUGAUUUGUUAGAUCAAGGCUGACAUCAGUUUUGUGGUUGAAUUUUCUUGUCUAAUUUCAGUGCUCUUGGAAUAUGUUUUAACUGUUUUAAAGGUCAGAUUUGAAGAAAAUGCUCUGAUGCUCAUCCGUAGAAUUUGAACUUUUGGCAUGAAUUUGUUAAGUGUCACAUAUCAAUGUCAUUAGCAUGAUUAGUCUUUUCAUUCUUAUGGAGCAGCUAAUCUUUCAGGAUACAUAUACAUGUUUAGUCUAAAUGGAAAUUGAACCAGAUUAUAUAGAUAUAUGUUCCUUGUGAAAACAUAUGCAUGAAAGUAAUGAACAAUGACAAUAAGUUUUCACUUUCUUUUGAAGUGAAAUUGUGGACUUGAGAGGGGAAAAUAGGUCACACCAAUUUGUAAGCAUUGCUCUAUUUCGAGAAGUUAUAUUUGCGUGGAUAGAAAUUAAAACCAUCUCUUGGUCACCACCUCCUAAUAGGAAAACUGGAUUAGGGAGACCUGGUAGAAAUUUAUUUGUUGCAGGUUUCAGCUUCUUAACUACAGAGAGAGAUUUGGAAAGGAAGUUCUCUAGGUUUGGCCGAGUACAAGAUGUUCGUAUUGUUAGAGACAAGAGCUGAUCAGCAGAUACCGUUUAUCAGUAGCAGCAAGGUCAAUUGUAUUGCUCAUCUAUUCAGUCUGCUUUCAAGUAUGAAACAAACUAUUGCAAGAUACAACAAGUGUGACGAGUCUUCAGAGACCGCUUUGGUAGAAUCAAUGGCAGAGGGACUGUUCUGAUUCUUUUUUUGAGCUUGCCCUAUGUGCAGAAAAAUUGCAAGAGAUUUGACAGAAGCAUCAUUAUCAGGUGCAGGAUUGUGUACGGUAGCAGCUCUUGCCAUGAUGUUUUUAACUUGGAAUGACAUCAUUCGCCAUAUGUAUCAAUCAGUUCAAAAUCCGUCUGUGAAUUUCAGUAUUGGUGGAUAACAUCAGUCGCAUCAUGAAAAGGGAUCCCACUUCCAAUGUCAUGACCGAGACAGAAAUAGGAAGACUUUGAGAAAUACAAAGGAUGCUUAUGCAGAUUGCAGAUUAAAGUUUUGAGUUUUGAAAUUUUUUCUGAUGCAAAGACUAUUAAGGUCGCUUGAAUAUAUGACGAUACUUGGAGCGUCUGUCAAGGAUCUGAACCCAUGAAGUCAAGGUUGCUGUGUUGCCACUUUUGAGAGAUUCUAUUUGUUUCAAGUGCAGAGACAGAGACAGACUGCGAAAGAAAAAAAGGAGUGAUCGAUCUGGAUUUAUUUGACAAGAGGUGUAGAGAUAGAGAGAAAUUGUGAAAGCAGAAGAGGAGGAAUCGGUGUUGGAGAAGAGGCUUCAAACGUAGAAGACAGGACAUCAGUUGAUAGCAGAAUCAGGACCAAACGAGCUUCUCAUCAACAGCCGAACCAAAGGAUGAUACCUUUGACAAUCUCAUGUAAAGUAACUGGUUUGAAGUAUAAAUGCAGAUUAUUUUGUUAAUAGCUAACUACCUUUGCAAUUAGAGUUUAGGAACUUCGGUUAGAAUGAUCAUUUUUUGAACAAAUGUUGGUUAAUAUACCAUACAAAAAUUGGGGAAAAAUGCAAACCCGCAGCAUCGCGCGGGGGUAGUAGCUAGUUAUUAUUACUUACUAGAUUGAGGUUACUUUUGGUUAGAAUUGCUGGAUUUGAUCAUAUCUGGAUAUGGAUAUGUACUUUUGGAAAUGUUUUGGAUUGGCAAUGUAAGAACAGAUGUGGCAUUGAUAUAUGACAAUGUUAUAUUUUGGAUUUGUUCA